UGAGGAAAAUCCUGAAGAAUCGGCAGUUGAAGAAAAAACUGAAGAACCACUCAUUGAAGAGAAACCUGAUGUACCAGCUAUUAAGGAGAAACCCAAAGAACCAACAUUUGAGGAGAAAUCUGAAGUACCAGUUGAGGAGAAACCUGAAGAACUAGAGAUGACAGAGAAACCUGAAGAACCAGCGGCUAUAGAAACACCUGAAGAGCUUGCAGGGCAGGAAAUACCUGAAGAACUAGACCUUGAAGAGAAACCUGAAGAACCAACAGUUGAAGACACAUCUGAAGAACUAGUUGUUGAAAAGAAAGAUGAGAAAC
rnacentral:lncRNA from 1 species